rnacentral:rRNA from 1 species
UACGGGGGGGGCAAGCGUUGUUCGGAAUUACUGGGCGUAAAGGGCGCGUAGGCGGCCUGCUAAGUCGGACGUGAAAUCCCCCGGCUCAACCGGGGAACUGCGUCCGAUACUGGUGGGCUCGAAUCCGGGAGAGGGAUGUGGAAUUCCAGGUGUAGCGGUGAAAUGCGUAGAUAUCUGGAGGAACACCAAUGGCGAAGGCAGCUCGCUGGGACGGUACUGACGCUGAGACGCGAAAGCGUGGGUAGCAAACAGG